AUGUCACUGCUGCUCGGUUCUAACAUAGAGUCCAACAAGUGUUGGGCAUAAGGAUUCCACAAGUCUCCACUAAUGUGCGAUGAUUCUGUUUGAGGAUCGAGCGCGAGUGGUAAUUGACAUUGGCUAUAACAUUGGGAUGCCAGUGUACUGAGAGCAGACAGGCAACGGGUAGCAUCUGUGUCAUCUGCACGCUUUGAUUAGAAAAGGAAAUAGAAGGAAGAAAAUGUUCAGAUGAGAAUGUCAAAUUUGAUAAGAGUAAUACUAAAGCUUUCUAAGCUAACC